rnacentral:misc_RNA from 1 species
UGCGUACGUCAUGUCAGGUGUCACAUGCAGUUGUGUUAGUUAAAUGUUUUGUCGAUGAUCAAUGGACAUAAUUAUAAUAAUAAUUAAAGUACUGCAGACAAAUCGAGUUGGAAAUCUAAACUAGAAAGUCAAAAGUACACGUGUUAUGUUAUGUUAUGUAACAUUAUGUCCUUCGUCCUUUUGAGUCCAUUUUCUUGAGGUUGAUUCUCCUUGAAUAAUCAUUCGAGAGUUAUCAGGUCAUUCUAAAGGUCUCUUUUCUCUAAAUCUUAUAGUCGGCCUUAAAGUUUGUGAUGACGUGACAUUGCCACUCGUGAAGUUAGUCAGAAUUGAUGAGCAUACUGUAAGUCAAGUCCAGUGUAAAAUCAUCCCCUGUACAGGAAAAAAAAAAGAAAAAAACAGUGAAAUGUGUAUUUUAUUUGCAUUUGUGAAUCCUAAACCUGAACCUGGUGGUUAUAAAAUAAUUCUUGCCAGUAACCGAGAUGAAUCAUUUUCAAGGCCUGCUCUACCAGCCCAUGAGUGGUUACCAAAGCACAGUGGAGUGUAUGGAGGACAAGAUAUGCAGCCAGGAAAAGAAGGUGGAACUUGGCUAGCUAUGAACAAACAUGGCAGGAUCAGUGUACUAUUAAAUGUUGGUCAAAGUGACAGUGAAACAAUUGCUGUUGCUGACCCCACUUCAGGAAGAGGUUUCUAUGCAGUUGAAUGGGUAACCAAUAUGAACGAAAGUAUGGAAGGAAUAUUCAAUAUUGUCAAGGAAAGACAUGAAAACCGCCAACAAACUUUCAGACUUGUUGUUUUUGACACAAAUGGAGAGCCUAAGGUGGGAACGCUGACAUAUGCGGGUAGCAAAUUCGAUGGAUUUCAUGAAGACUAUCUUCCUCCUGGAGUUCACGCUUUAGGAAACAACGCUCCUGGGAUCACUUGGAAUAAGAUAGCGAAUGGGAAAAAGCAAUUCGAGGCCAUUGUUCAACAAACUAAUAAGUGGGAAAACAGAAAAGAACUUUUAUGUUCUCUGAUUGAUCUACUAGGAAACAGAGAAAAACAUUGGCCUGAUCCUGGAAUAGUGGAACAAAUGAAAGGUUCUGACCCUAUCAUGGAGUGUUUAAGUGCCAUAUUCGUUGAUAUUCCUAAAUUUUAUGGGACUAGAACACAGACUGUGAUUUUGAUUAAUUCGGAGAAUCAAACGUUGUUUUACGAAAGGACGAUGAAUGGUAUUCCCAAUGACCAACCGGUCACCUGGAUCGAAAGCCACCACGAAUUUCCUUUAGAAUCCGAGUAAGACCGUAUAUUGAUGUUCAGUAUGUGGCACAGAGAGAAAAGGGAGAGAGUAUUUGUGGAUCGAUUACACCAUUUCACUUCGAGAUUAUGACUUAGAGAUCGACAUUAUUUAGAUCGGCGCCUGAGGUUGAAGGCAUGCCAACAUCAUCCGGUGGAAUGAAACGGCCAAUCGGCUGCACUGCUUCCUAUAAACAGAAAACUUCAAUGAAAAAGUGCCAUGUAUCCAAUAAAUUUAAUGUAAAUAAAUUUUCUGUUCCAACAAA